rnacentral:Y_RNA from 1 species
AACUGGUCUGAUGGUAGUGGGUUAUCAGAACUUUUAACAUUAGUGUCACUAAAGUUGGUAUUCAACCCCCCACUGCUAAAUUUGACUGGCUUUAA